UACGGGGGGUGCAAGCGUUAAUCGGAAUUACUGGGCGUAAAGGGCACGCAGGCGGACUGUUAAGUGAGAUGUGAAAUCCCCGGGCUUAACCUGGGAAUUGCAUUUCAUACUGGGAGUCUAGAGUCCUGUAGGGAGGGGUAGAAUUCCACGUGUAGCGGUGAAAUGCGUAGAGAUGUGGAGGAAUACCGAUGGCGAAGGCGGCCCCCUGGGCAUGUACUGACGCUCAGGUGCGAAAGCGUGGGGAGCAAACAGG
rnacentral:rRNA from 1 species